rnacentral:misc_RNA from 1 species
AAGUCGUAACAAGGUUUCCGUAGGUGAACCUGCGGAAGGAUCAUUAAAAAAAUUUUGAGGUAUUUUAUACCUCUUGUAUUUAAAACCCAACUCUUUUAAACCUAAUUUUUUAAUAAAAAAAACUUUCAACAACGGAUCUCUUGGCUCUC